CCCGCUGAACUUAAGCAUAUCAAUAAGCGGAGGAAAAGAAACUAACAAGGAUUCCCUUAGUAACUGCGAGUGAAGAGGGAAAAGCUCAAAUUUAAAAUCUGGCAGUGUUUCGCUGUCCGAGUUGUAACUUAGAGAAGUGUAACCUGUGCUGGACCGUGUACAAGUCUCCUGGAAUGGAGCAUCACAGAGGGUGAGAAUCCCGUCUUUGACAUGGACUGCCAGUGCAUUGUGGUUGUGCUCUCAACGAGUCGAGUUGUUUGGGAAUGCAGCUCUAAAUGGGUGGUAAAUUCCAUCUAAAGCUAAAUAUUGGCGAGAGACCGAUAGCGAACAAGUACCGUGAGGGAAAGAUGAAAAGAACUUUGGAAAGAGAGUUAAACAGUAUGUGAAAUUGUUGAAAGGGAAACGUUUGAAGUCAGUCAUGUUGGCUGGGGAUCAGCCUGACAUUUAUGUUGGGUGUACUUCCUGGUUGACGGGCCAACAUCAGUUUUGGCUGCCAGAAAAAGGCCAAGGGAAUGUGGCACCUUUGGGUGUGUUAUAGCUCUUGGUCGUAUGUGGUGGUUGGGACUGAGGAAAGCAGUGCGCCGAAAGGCAGGGUUUCGACCACAUUCGCACUGAGGAUGUUGGCAUAAUGGCUUUAAGCGACCCGUCUUGAAACACGG
rnacentral:rRNA from 1 species